rnacentral:rRNA from 1 species
UUCAUAAGCGGAGGAAAAGAAACCAACAGGGAUUGCCCUAGUAACGGCGAGUGAAGCGGCAACAGCUCAAAUUUGAAAGCUAGCCUUCGGGUUCGCAUUGUAAUUUGUAGAGGAUGAUUUGGGGAAGCCGCCUGUCUAAGUUCCUUGGAACAGGACGUCAUAGAGGGUGAGAAUCCCGUAUGUGACAGGAAAUGGCACCCUAUGUAAAUCUCCUUCGACGAGUCGAGUUGUUUGGGAAUGCAGCUCUAAAUGGGAGGUAAAUUUCUUCUAAAGCUAAAUAUUGGCGAGAGACCGAUAGCGCACAAGUAGAGUGAUCGAAAGAUGAAAAGCACUUUGGAAAGAGAGUUAAAAAGCACGUGAAAUUGUUGAAAGGGAAGCGCUUGCAAUCAGACUUGUUUAAACUGUUCGGCCGGUCUUCUGACCGGUUUACUCAGUUUGGACAGGCCAGCAUCAGUUUCGGCGGCCGGAUAAAGGCUCUGGGAAUGUGGCCUCCACUUCGGUGGAGGUGUUAUAGCCCGGGGUGUAAUACGGCCAGCCGGGACUGAGGUCCGCGCUUCGGCUAGGAUGCUGGCGUAAUGGUUGUAAGCGACCCGUCUUGAAACACGGACCAAGGAGUCUAACAUCUAUGCGAGUGUUCGGGUGUCAAACCCCUGCGCGUAAUGAAAGUGAACGGAGGUGGGAACCGCAAGGUGCACCAUCGACCGAUCCUGAUGUCUUCGGAUGGAUUUGAGUAAGAGCAUAGCUGUUGGGACCCGAAAGAUGGUGAACUAUGCCUGAAUAAGGGUGAAGCCAGAGGAAACUCUGGUGGAGGCUCGCAGCGGUUCUGACGUGCAAAUCGAUCGUCAAAUUUGGGUAUAGGGGCGAAAGACUAAUCGAACAUCUAGUAGCUGUCCUGC